rnacentral:lncRNA from 1 species
UGAAGAUUUCCCAGAAUUCUCUGUGAAGAACUUGGGUACAUCGAUACCCACUAGGUUGGCAAACAAAGACCUCAAUGCAUUGUGUUUAAACGAUUAGUCAUAAAGAUUUUUAUUUAAAUGUAGUUUUUAAAAUAAAUUAUCCAAGUUUUCAUCAUCAGAACGCAAAGGGAUCAUACAUAGUCUUCGUAAAAGGUUCAUAUAGGCCGUGUCCGAAUUCCCACACUAAUCCCUAACUACUAAAAAAACAUAUAGUGCGGGAUUAUCUAGUGCCCUGGAUUUAAAAAGUAAUUUGGACAUUACACUCCCAAUUUUUUUUUAAACGGCAUAUAUUAUUAAUAUCAAUUUCACAAAAUGAAAAUCUCAUUGAUAUGAACGCUUUGCAACGAUCACAUUUUAUUAAAAGAAAAUACAUUUAAAUACAUUUUUUGGCAAGGAGUGUUCAAACGCAAUGCAUUGUGGUCUAUAUUCGCCGAUCUAGUGAGCAUCGAUGCACACUGGUUUUUCGCAGAGACUUCUAGGGAAUUUCCAGGUCACUCGAUUUUGGAAUUGUAGAUUCGGACAGCAGUACAAAAUGGCGAACGCACUAUACAGUGCACACUAUGUAGUGCGUAGUGAAGGAAGUCAGACACGACCAUUUAUUAAGUUUCUAUUUCCACAAAUGGGUGAUGUUCAUGUUUGACGUUAAACCAAAAAAUAGCAGCGAACAUGCGUCCAAAUGAAGUUAAAAUCCUGGACACUGGACUGUCUUGCACUAUAGUCUUUUGAUGGUAAGGGAUUAGGGAGGGAGUUAGGACACAUCCACUACGACAGGUGGCAGCAGGCAAAUGGGGGUUGGGGCUUGGCUUCAGUAUGUUCAGUAUCAAAGCUGGCUGGUGGGAAAUGAACUCAUCUGUUUGGCCAAGACUGAUGUUUGGAAAUCAAACAGCUUGAAAAACCAGCUCCUGCAGUGCUGAUCUGUCCCCCAGGCAGUUCUUCUGCAUGAUUUAUCGUCAUCCUGGUUGCUCUGCCCACUCUGUCCCCCCCAGCUCUCCUGAUGGCUGGAGGAAGCAGAGCUCCUCAGUGGGACAUCAUCCGCACCGAGGCGGUAGGAUCCAGAACAUCCAUCAUCCUGGAAGUCUGGGAAAGGUUCAGAACGGAGUGGGAGGAUUUGCUGCAGGGCAUGAUGGGAGGAGGGGGAGGAGGCUUCUUCCAAAGUCACCGUCCAACUGCAUAAUCAGGAAGGGGAAAAGAAGGAAAAGAAUCUGUUUCUGAGAUUUCUGUCUGUUUACAGUCUGAAGUGCAAAAGCAUAGGUACACAUAAACACAAAUCAAGUAAAAGAGGAAG